GGGUUGUGAGGUUAAGCGACUAAGCGUACACGGUGGAUGCCGGCAGUCAGAGGCGAUGAAGGACGUGCUAAUCUGCGAAAAGCGUCGGUAAGGUGAUAUGAACCGUUACAGCCGGCGAUGUCCGAAUGGGGAAACCCAGUGCAAUUCGUUGCACUAUCGUUAACUGAAUACAUAGGUUAACGAGGCGAACCGGGGGAACUGAAACAUCUAAGUACCCCGAGGAAAAGAAAUCAACCGAGAUUCCCCCAGUAGCGGCGAGCGAACGGGGAGCAGCCCAGAGUCUGAAUCAGCUUGUGUGUUAGUGGAACGGUCUGGAAAGUCCGACGGUACAGGGUGAUAGUCCCGUACACCAAAAUGCACAGGUUGUGAACUCGAAGAGUAGGGCGGGACACGUGGUAUCCUGUCUGAAUAUGGGGACCAUCCUCCAAGGCUAAAUACUCCUGACUGACCGAUAGUGAACCAGUACCGUGAGGGAAAGGCGAAAAGAACCCCGGCGAGGGGAGUGAAAAGAACCUGAAACCGUGUACGUACAAGCAGUGGGAGCACCUUCGGGUGUGACUGCGUACCUUUGUAUAAUGGGUCAGCGACUUAUAUUCUGUAGCAAGGUUAACCGUAUAGGGAGCCGCAGGGAAACCGAGUCUUAACUGGGCGUUAAGUUGCAGGGUAUAGACCCGAAACCCGGUGAUCUAGCCAUGGGCAGGUUGAAGGUUGGGUAACACUAACUGGAGGACCGAACCGACUAAUGUUGAAAAAUUAGCGGAUGACUUGUGGCUGGGGUGAAAGGCCAAUCAAACCGGGAGAUAGCUGGUUCUCCCCGAAAGCUAUUUAGGUAGCGCCUCGUGAACUCAUCUUCGGGGUAGAGCACUGUUUCGGCUAGGGGUCAUCCCGACUUACCAACCCGAUGCAAACUACGAAUACCGAAGAAUGUUAUCACGGGAGACACACGGCGGGUGCUAACGUCCGUCGUGAAGAGGAAACAACCCAGACCGCCAGCUAAGGUCCCAAAGUCAUGGUUAAGUGGGAAACGAUGUGGGAAGGCACAGACAGCCAGGAUGUUGGCUUAGAAGCAGCCAUCAUUUAAAGAAAGCGUAAUAGCUCACUGGUCGAGUCGGCCUGCGCGGAAGAUGUAACGGGGCUAAACCAUGCACCGAAGCUGCGGCAGCGACACUAUGUGUUGUUGGGUAGGGGAGCGUUCUGUAAGCCUGCGAAGGUGUGCUGUGAGGCAUGCUGGAGGUAUCAGAAGUGCGAAUGCUGACAUAAGUAACGAUAAAGCGGGUGAAAAGCCCGCUCGCCGGAAGACCAAGGGUUCCUGUCCAACGUUAAUCGGGGCAGGGUGAGUCGACCCCUAAGGCGAGGCCGAAAGGCGUAGUCGAUGGGAAACAGGUUAAUAUUCCUGUACUUGGUGUUACUGCGAAGGGGACGGAGAAGGCUAUGUUAGCCGGGCGACGGUUGUCCCGGUUUAAGCAUGUAGGCUGAUUGUCCAGGCAAAUCCGGAUAAUCAAGGCUGAGGUGUGAUGACGAGGCACUACGGUGCUGAAGUAACAAAUGCCCUGCUUCGGGAAAAGCCUCUAAGCAUCAGGUAACAUCAAAUCGUACCCCAAACCGACACAGGUGGUCAGGUAGAGAAUACCAAGGCGCUUGAGAGAACUCGGGUGAAGGAACUAGGCAAAAUGGUGCCGUAACUUCGGGAGAAGGCACGCUGGUGUGUAGGUGAAGUCCCUGCGGAUGGAGCUGAGACCAGUCGAAGAUACCAGCUGGCUGCAACUGUUUAUUAAAACACAGCACUGUGCAAACACGAAAGUGGACGUAUACGGUGUGACGCCUGCCCGGUGCCGGAAGGUUAAUUGAUGGGGUUAUCCGUAAGGAGAAGCUCUUGAUCGAAGCCCGGUAAACGGCGGCCGUAACUAUAACGGUCCUAAGGUAGCGAAAUUCCUUGUCGGGUAAGUUCCGACCUGCACGAAUGGCGUAAUGAUGGCGGGCUGUCUCCACCCGAGACUCAGUGAAAUUGAACUCGCUGUGAAGAUGCAGUGUACCCGCGGCAAGACGGAAAGACCCCGUGAACCUUUACUAUAGCUUGACACUGAACAUUGAGCCUUGAUGUGUAGGAUAGGUGGGAGGCUUUGAAGCGUGGACGCCAGUCUGCGUGGAGCCAACCUUGAAAUACCACCCUUUAAUGUUUGAUGUUCUAACGUUGGCCCCUGACCGGGGUUGCGGACAGUGUCUGGUGGGUAGUUUGACUGGGGCGGUCUCCUCCCAAAGCGUAACGGAGGAGCACGAAGGUUAGCUAAUCUGGUCGGACAUCAGGAGGUUAGUGCAAUGGCAUAAGCUAGCUUGACUGCGAGCGUGACGGCGCGAGCAGGUGCGAAAGCAGGUCAUAGUGAUCCGGUGGUUCUGAAUGGAAGGGCCAUCGCUCAACGGAUAAAAGGUACUCCGGGGAUAACAGGCUGAUACCGCCCAAGAGUUCAUAUCGACGGCGGUGUUUGGCACCUCGAUGUCGGCUCAUCACAUCCUGGGGCUGAAGUAGGUCCCAAGGGUAUGGCUGUUCGCCAUUUAAAGUGGUACGCGAGCUGGGUUUAGAACGUCGUGAGACAGUUCGGUCCCUAUCUGCCGUGGGCGCUGGAGAAUUGAGGGGGGCUGCUCCUAGUACGAGAGGACCGGAGUGGACGCAUCACUGGUGUUCGGGUUGUCAUGCCAAUGGCACUGCCCGGUAGCUAAAUGCGGAAGAGAUAAGUGCUGAAAGCAUCUAAGCACGAAACUUGCCCCGAGAUGAGUUCUCCCUGAGACUAUAAGUCUCCUGAAGGAACGUUAAAGACGAUGACGUUGAUAGGCCGGGUGUGUAAGCGCAGCGAUGCGUUGAGCUAACCGGUACUAAUGAACCGUGAGGCUUAACCUUACAACGCCGAAG
rnacentral:rRNA from 1 species